UACGUAGGGACCGAGCGUUGUCCGGAUUCAUUGGGCGUAAAGAGCUCGUAGGCGGCUGCUCAAGUCGAAUGUGAAAACUCGAGGCUCAACCUCGAGCCUGCAUUCGAUACUGGGCGGCUAGAGUCUGGUAGGGGGAUCUGGAAUUCCUGGUGUAGCGGUGGAAUGCGCAGAUAUCAGGAGGAACACCGGUGGCGAAGGCGGGAUCCUGGGCCAGUACUGACGCUGAGGUGCGAAAGCGUGGGGAUCAAACAGG
rnacentral:rRNA from 1 species